UGUAGCUCUCUUUCCUGAAUGAAACGCCACGAGCAGGCAGCUCUUCUUCCUCACAGAGAAACUGAGAAACUCCAUCAUGUUUUCUCUGCAGGAUGAAGGUGUGCACAUGCAGAUGGCUGUGAUUGAUGAAGGUGAGUCUGGAGUAUUUGACACUUUAUUUGAGCUGCAGCUGGAAAAGUGAUGAUUUCUACCAAACAUGCCGUUUACCCAUCAGACACCAAGAUGGUGCUGCAGAAGUCGAGCUGCAGUCAUGAGAAAAGCACCUGAUCAGGAGAUGUUCUGUCAAUCCUCCGUCUGCUGAUCAGGAGAUGCUGCAGAAGUCGAGCUCCAGUCAUGAGAAAAGCAUCUGAUCAAGAGAUGCUCCAGAAGUCGAGCUGCGGUCAUGAAAACAACGCCUGAUCAGGAGUGGCGUCAGAAGUCGUGCUGCGGUCCUGAGAAAAUCACCUGAUCAGGAGGUGCUUCAGAAGUCGUGCUGCGGUCCUGAGAAAAAGCACCUGGUCAGGAGAUGUUCUGUCAAUCCUCCGUCUGCUGAUCAAGAGAUGCUCCAGAAGUUGAGCUGCGGUCAUGAAAACAACGCCUGAUCAGGAGAUGCUGCAGAAGUUGUGAAGAUGCUGAUCAGAAGAUGCUGAUCAGAAGAUGCUGAUCAGAAGAUGCUGAUCAGAAGAUGCUGAUCAGAAGAUGCUGAUCAGAAGAUGCUGGAUAAUGAUCCACUUCAGUAGUGUGGGUGCCAUGAGCUCCAUCAUCCCCAGAGGCCAGCGUUUCCUGAGAGAUCCAAAUUCUCCCCGAUAAUCCGUUCCCUCUCCGAAGCCAUUGGUCAUCCGCUGAACAGUUCAUUUGUGUUUCCAUUAAUAAAGAUUCUCUUCAUCCCUCCUUA